rnacentral:lncRNA from 1 species
UACAUUACUGUUUAUAAAUGACGUCAGUAAGCUGUGAACUCUGUCAGUGAUAGGUCGUGGUGUACUGAUCGCUUGGAACAGCAGCUUUACAUCCUAACCAUGAACGGCAAACACACGUCAGCACACAGUUUGGUGACGGAGGCUCAUGUGAAGGCGGUGCUGAAAGCAGAUAAGGGUAAUGAUAUUCUUCUUACGUCAUGGGCCAUUGAAGAUUUCACUGAGAAAGGAGACAACCUGGCUACUGUUGUUACGAGCGUCAAAGUUAUGUUUUCACAUAACGAUAGCGUUCAGAGGAUUUCCUACGUUGUAUGUAAUGUAGUUAUCCAUUGGUGUCGUCGUGUUUAUAUAGGAGGGAGUGAAGGAAGGUCGCAGCCUCACGUUGACCAAUCAUAAUCUUUGUGACUGGCUGUGCUGGCCAAUGAAAUGAGGAGCAUCUAAGACUAGUGGGAUUGUUGAUGGUACUCGACAAUGGUAAUGAGGAGUCAGGCUUGGUACAUCAUUACUACACAAUUAGGAUGAUGACUUAUCUCUUGAAUACGGUGAAUUAACUCUUUGAUUAUGAUGACUUAAUUCCGUAAGUACAGUAUACACAAUGAACUAAUAAUCACUUGAUUAUGAUGACUUACCCAGGCCAGAGAGGACAAGAAUUUAACCUCUUGAGUACGACUUCAUCUUAUUCAAGGGGAGAGCUCGUCGUAUUCAAAGGGCCGAAGUUAUGAUUGGCAUUUGUGUGUGUGUGUGAGGGAUUUUAUUCCAGGGUAAGAGCGGCUGUGGCUUUGUGGAAUUUUAUAGUGAUGUGAUUGUAUUUUUUGUGUUUUGAGGAUUUUUUAUUGUGAUUUUAGAUGCACGGAAAGGCAGGGGGAAGGCAGAGAAUGAGAUCAAUGACUGGAAUUAAAAAUUGUGGUCCCCCAAAGAGAUGCAAAACCUGGGAGGAUUGGUAAAGACAAUCCUAUUAAUGGCUAAGAGUGGAGGGCCGCGGUUGCCAUCCCUCAGAUAUAAAAAUGAUACCUUGAAUGAUUGUUAUGGCUGUGAUUUGAUUAAAUUAUGCAUUACAACUUCUAUGUUUUCUUCACCCGUCUUUUAAGGGUUUAUGAAAAAUAAAUAAUUCAAAUAACUGUUGAUCAUAUAUUUCUUUGUGACUGUGUGUGUUUGUGUCACUAGCGUAAUUGUAUGUAACUGGAUUUGUGUACAUUUAAACCAAUGUAUAUUUUGUCUUACGAGACAUUACAAACCUGUUAUCGCAAUCUACACUUCAUAUCCUAAGUAAAUUUAAACUAAAGGUCCAUCCACACCACAGGUAUACCUCAUAACCACAGUUGUAAACCAACUCAACGAGGAACCGAAGUCGUUUUUCCUCCCUCGAGACGGGACACACAUUUACCAGACCACCCAAACACUCCAACGAGUGUGUAAAUAUAUCGCCGAUAUCCCCGCAAACUUCUCAAAUUAAACCGUGGAAAUUGGCAAUACUAUACCAUCCACGGCGUCCUCAGCUCAGUAAAUUAAUAUUGCAGGCAAAACUCUCCUGCUCACGGGAGUUCACAACAGUGAUUCGCGCUACAUCGUAAGUUCCGAAAUGGUGAAAAAAUAUUUACUGAAGAUGGUGUUGACUAUUCCUUUGUCCAAUUGAGCAUAGUAUUUUGUUUAAUUGGGUACAUUUACCUGGUUUGACAGAUGUUUAGAUAUAUUUAUAAAUAAGGUAGAUGUUUAUAGGUGUUGCCAGAUGCUUAAGGUGUUCAUUAGUGAGAUCAGAUUUGUACAGGUGUUAACAGGUGCCCAGAAGUAAGGAUAAGGUGAGUGUACGUGCUGUUUGCAAGUAUUAGUAGAUAUUAGCACGUGUCAGCAGGUGAUGGUCAUCCGUUCUGAGCUAACUACCACAAGGGACAUAUAUUUCCCCCUUCUGCAGCCCUCCGUUAACUGCCUUCCCCUCCUCUCUCCCCUUUGUUAGGAGUUUUACACUAGAAAGAGGAAGACCCAUUUUUCCUCAGGACCAAUAACCAUAGCCAGCCACGACACUCUCAC